AACAACUGCAUCUUCCCCUUCAACUGCUCAAACGACAAAGCCCAGCAAAUAUCCAGGCCCAAUGAGUCCAUUUGUGCCUUACUACCAGGAACCAUUUAUUCCAUAUGUUUCGUACAAAUCCAGUAAGGCAGGUAAACAUCCAGACCAGAAAUGAAUGCCCCAAACUGGCUACAAAUCUGGACUCCAGCCUCAGUCGCACCCACAUCCAGGCUUCAAGUACUGGCAAAAAUCUCAGCCAUAAUGACUCCAAAGGUUCUGUCCUACUACUGAGCAACAAUAAACUGGUUUAACCUUAA